rnacentral:lncRNA from 1 species
CAAUGAGGACAUUUCUUCUUUUUAAAGGGGGUAAGGCGCAAAUAAAUUGCUCAAACUUUAAAGUUUUUUUUUUCUUUUUCAAGUAUGCUUCAAUUAUUUCUUUCAUAAGUAUGUUCUAAUAACUGAAUGUUUAGAGAUAUUUUUUUGUUACUGAGAUAGUUUGUAUGCAAGUAUGAAUGAUGAUUUUAUCUAAGUGAAAGUGUGUUAUCAUGAAGAAUGGAAUGCUUGUAUGAUCU